CCUACGGGAGGCAGCAGUGAGGAAUAUUGGUCAAUGGACGCAAGUCUGAACCAGCCAUGCCGCGUGCAGGAAGACGGCUCUAUGAGUUGUAAACUGCUUUUGUACGAGGGUAAACGCAGAUACGCGUAUCUGUCUGAAAGUAUCGUACCAAUACGGAUCGGCUAACUACGGGCCAGCCGCCGCGGUACUACGGAGGAUUCAAGCGUUAUCCGGAUUUAUUGGGUUUAAAGGGUGCGUAGGCGGUCGGAUAAGUUAGAGGUGAAAUCCCGAGGCUCAACUUCGGAAUUGCCUCUGAUACUGUACGGCUAGAGAGUAGUUGCGGUAGGCGGAAUGUAUGGUGUAGCGGUGAAAUGCUUAGAGAUCAUACAGAACACCGAUUGCGAAGGCAGCUUACCAGGCUACUUCUGACGUUGAGGCACGAAAGCGUGGGGAGCAAACAGGAUUAGAUACACGUGUAGUC
rnacentral:rRNA from 1 species